GGUUCCUUGGUGUAGUGGUUAUCACAUCUCCUUUACACGGAGAAGGCCGCCAGUUCAAACCUGGCAGGAAUCA